GCCGCUCCCUCCGGGCGGCCGGCCCCGAGGGAGCUGCCCGGCCCCGCCGCCGCGGGGACGCUUCCCCCGGCGGGUCUGAAGCCGAUGCCGGGGGAGAAGGGAGCAGGGGGAGAUUUGCCCGUACACCCCCCGCUGGGGCGGUAGUUCCCGAAGGCUCCUUAGGCCGCAGCCCUCGGCAUCUGCGCUGCGGCGGCGGCUGCGGCUCGGUGGGGCCCAGCCGGCCGCGGGUCGUGCACGCAGCAUCUCUCGUCCUCCGCACCGCCUUUUUUUUUUCUUUUUUUUUUUUUUUUUUUGGCUAAAUGAUUCCCUUUCAAGCAAUCUGCUUGCACCUUUUCUGGAGACGAUUGAAGUGGCUGUUUUGCUGGAGCGUCAUCUCGCUGAAUUACUUCUACAAUUUAUUGUGAGUAACGGAUGUCACUUGCAGGGAGGUUUAAUAAACAUCUCUCUGCUCGUAGCCCUGAAAUGGCUGCAUGUAGCGGAGAUGAGGCAUGGACUGGCUCACAGACAAGAGGGAGGAGUAGAGCUCUAGUCCUGUAACUAAAAACAAAUAAAGAAGGGAGGGUGCGUUAGACAGACUGAUGGAACCAGCCUCCCUUCCUGCUCGUGACGCAUCUGCCAGCAGACAGCAGCCUUCUCCAUGAAUUCACUGCUCGGAUCUGUGUCCAGCUCCCCUGUAUCACGCUUGCCAUCAAGACUGCUGAUUCAGUGCAGUUUUGCGUGUGACAAGCGCAGUUGGAUCCACACCUCGCUUGUCCGCUGCUUGGUGGACACAUCCCUAAUAACCCACAGCUGUUGCAGGGUGACUGCUCCAGCACACAAGUCAAAAAGCCCCUGAAAAACAUCCACCCCAAAAAAGCAAAGACCACCUGAAGGAUAAUCAAAACAUGUACUGGGGAAGUGUCUGUGUCAGUCCAGUGCUCCAGAAUUCCCAAGCCAAGCAAAACCCGGCACAGUGCCUGCUUUGGGCAGGGCACUCCCAACACUGCUGACAGCAUUUGAUGUAAGGCUCUGGCCAGCCGGCAGAUUCGCAAACCCCAGCGUUUCCAGGGGCUUUGUUUGCGACAGCAGUCCCGCUCAUUACGCAAAUGCAGUCUGCUGACCGAGGCCAGCAGGAGUUUUGCAUGAAUGUGGCCGAGGCCAGCAGGAGUUUUGCAUGAAUGUGGCCUUGUCCUGCAGGGCUGCUCUCCAGGCUGGGCUGGCCCUGGAGCCGUGUCAGCCGGGCGCGGGCUGGGGCUGCUCAGGAAGUGGAGCACAAAGGCAGGAAAGCAGCCAGGAGGGCAGAGGCCUGGAGCAGGCUGCACAUCAUCUGGCUCUGCAAUGUGGCAUGUUUAUGGGUGUUUGGAUGGCUGCAGUGGGAAAAGGAGGAGGUGCAUGUCCAGUUGCACGACAGGACCGCAGUCUGGCUUGGACAGUUACUUUACACCUUUGUUUGCUGUUGCUCAACUCUGAGAAAUACAGAUGUGCCUUUCUGAUGUCUGGGCAUCUCCCAUGCCCCAAAUUAGGAAGAAGCAGUCAAAUCACAAUCCUCUGUCUCCCACUGCUCUUCCUAGGAGCUUUCCUAGCAUUUGUCCUUUCAGUGGUUUAUUUUCACAGUUGCCAGGGCUCUUGUGGUGGAUGAAACGUGCUGGCCAGGAGGUAGCCGCUAUAGACACCUGAGCCUCCUGCUGCUCCUUCUGAGCCUCUGGCAGGGCGGUGAGGAGGAUGUGCCCACAGCAGGAGCAGUGCCAGCCUGCCCUGCGCAGCUCUUUGUUCUACCUCCCUCUCCUCCGCUCCCCAAGACACUGGAACAACAAAGAGGCAGGAGAUAAGAAAGCCUGGCUGUGGUUUGCCGGUCAGCAGUCAGCUGCCUGUGGGAGCUCGGCUUUGACCCCAGGGCUUAUUAAGGAUGGACCCCGGCAGGACCAGGCCCACAAAAGCCUUCCCUCACCCUGUGAGGCUGCCUGCGACCCUGCUCGGGGCCGGCGGCUGACUGCCUGCCGUGGGACGUCUCCACACCGGGCCGCAGGCGAAGUGCUCGGAGCCAUUUCCCACUCAGGCCUUGACCUGAUGCCACCAUCUCCCUGCUUCUGCUCUGCUGGUGCUGCCCACGUUCCCUGAGACCACCCGCUCCCAGGCCACCCCCAGCUGCAGACCAGCGCAGGGGGUUGGCUCUGGAGGGGGCUGUGGUAAGACCCCAGGGUGCCAGGGCCCACGGUGAUGUUUUCAGGGCUGUAUAUUUUGGCAUCCUGGAUCUACAGCAAGUGUUGACCUCAAUCCAUCUAUCUGGGUUUGUUGGGAACUCGAGAGAAAGAUUCCUCCUGCCUCUGUUCUGACUUUUUCUCACCUGUGUCUGCGGAGUGUUGGAUUGCACGCAGAGGUAGACACAGAUGAGAUCUCCCAGCCGCAUCACAUGUACCAGGAAUGCUGUGCCUCCUGGAUGACACCGUGCCUGUAUCACAGUAAAUUACAUUUAGAUUUGACAGGUAGAACAGCAGGUGGAAGAGAUCUGACACAACGCCUCAGACAUACCUGCCACUCACAGCCAUAGUUCCCUGCGCUGCUGUUUUGAUCACAGUAACAAUGGAGGCGAUUGUCAAGUGGUAACUGAUGCUCAGCGAACGUCAGUUCACUUCUCAUAGUGACAGCAGACUGAAGAAAUCCUCCCAGCACAGAGUAUCAUUCCCACAAAGAACACUGCCUUAGCUGGGCUAAGACUGCUCCAGCAUCUUCUCCUUGCACAAACCCAAACAGCAGAGGCUGCGGAAGCGCAGCACAAGCAAGCAGCACAGUUAAUGCGAGGCCAGAUUCCAGGUGCGCACAGAACAGCAUCCCACCAUGUGCCCCUCUGGAGGCAGGCACCUUCUCUACUGCGGGUCCUUGGAGAAAUCCUGUGAAAUGAGAAUCUUUCUCCUUAACUUCAACCUUCCACCACAGCAUCAAUAAUUUACUGACAAUUACUGUCCCAAAAUAACCGGCUUAGCACAUCCACAUGCUGUGCAUCCAUUAGAAGCCGAUUAUUUGUUCAGCAUGUCUUAUCUCACUGAAAACGCACAAACUUCCCUUCAGUGUGCUCAUCGUGGAUUUCAAGGGACUAAGUAACCAUAUGACAUGCAGGACCAGGUAGCAUCGUGUGUGUGUGUGUGUGUGUGUGUGUGUGUAUUGCAAUGGGAGAUGGUUUUCUCUGCACCAUUGAAAACUCUGCUGCUGCUCAAGGGUCCCAGUUCCUGGCAAGUCCCUGCACUGCUGCGCACCAACAGUGCCAGCAGCUCGUCAUUCACCCGGCUCACCCCUGGCACGUAAGCUGCUUUGCAAGGAAAAGCAAGCACGGUACUGAAACGCAGCAGGGUGCAGCAGUGGGGCAGCUGAGGCCGAGACCUUCACCUGCACCCAGCCCAGCUGGAGCAGCCCCCGAGGGAAGCCCCAUCCCUCAGACUGCAGCAGGGACCUUCCCACUGGCCUGCGGCCCCACUGGGUGUAAGGGAGGGACCCAACCCAGCCUGGGCACACACAGCCCAUAGGAUGCUGCCUCACUGUGUUGGGCUUGCUUAAAGGAAGACUUUAAAAAGAAAACCAUUUUUUUCCCCAAUUUGUGUUUGGGAUACGCAAUUCAUGUUGGAAAUUAAAUGGAAAAGAAGCUGAAGUUUUAAGGGUUCAUUUCUGUUCAUUCCCUGCCUGUCCCAUCUCCACCCCUCUCCGCAUGAAAAAGAAUUGCAAAACUGAAAAUACUUCAUUUUGAUGAGUGAUUUCAAACAUGAAGGUGGUGGAGAUCACUCCUACUGCUGGAGAAACUAUUUCCAUUGAGAACCUCUGCCAGGGAGCGUCCAGCUGGGCUCGCUCAGUCGCUCCAACAGCUGGUGCUGUGUGCCGGAGCUGCGGCCAUGCUGGCGCUGGCAGCCCUGGCAGAAAGGGUGCGAUGGGACCGACGGUGUGUGUGCUGCACUGUCUCCACCCGGAGCGAGGCGAGGGGAAGGCCAGCGCAGCAGUGGAAGCUGCAUUUCAAGUAGCUGGAUCCGGUGUGGGAGGGGAUGUGUGUGGCGAGGAGGUUUCCACACCCAAGGGGACAGAAUCAGAGAGCCAGCCAUUUUCCUCCUCCCACCCUGACCCUCUUUGUGUGCCUUCAGUGCUGCAAGUCCCUGCCCCUCCGAAGAGCCUCUUGUUCCCUGCAGGAGAGCGAUCAGCCUGCAGCCAACCUGUGGAGUCCCCCCAGCCGCCCACAUGUCUCGCCAGCUGGUGCUGGGCCUGAUAAAUCCUAAGGAGAGUUGUCCUGAGAGAGAGGGGAAAAAAUGGAGCUGCUCGCCUCCUGAGGAGUGUUGCAGAGGCUCCAGAUCACUUUCUUGAUACAGAGAAAUCCGCAGCAGUAAUUGAGGUAUUGUGCCUCCUCAGCCUGUAACACACAUGCUCCGACUGCAGUCUUUCCAGCAGAAGCCUUGUCAGUUGAGUGCCUCCUUGCUUUAAUCCCCGAGAUUGCUGAAGGAUGCUGCUCUCAUCUGAUAGCAUUUAUGGACUGUUAUAAUGAGCUUUGGCUUGCUGAGAUAAAUUAAAUUGCUCACCCAGAGGUGCAAACUUCAUUAAUGCCAGCAGUGAGUCAGAUCAGCGUUAUUCUAGCACAGAAUGUAAACCGGCUGGACACAUGAAAGGGGAUUUGGCUGGGAUUUUUUUUCUCUUUCUUUUAACCUUCCUAAUUGCUGUUGAUUUGUAUCUUUUUGCUGCGUGUGUUCAAACUCUACUGCUUCUCCACCUCUUCAUCUUCUAGGAGAAACCAUCAAAUAACACGCCAUUCAGGACUGAAUGAUUUAACUGCUCAGUGUUAACAGUUAGCAAUACUGUGCAGUUUUGCCUGGCAGGUUUCUAGCUCUUUCACAUAUUUGACAAGUCCAAGAAGAUACUUAAGACUAGAUCUGAUGAGAAAUUAAAGUGUGUCCCUUACUUCUGUCCCAGUUUAGAGGCCUACCAGUGGAAAUAAGAUGUUGCAGACUGAGAUAAAUGGCACAGAAAAGAUAGGUACGAAGUUAACAAUGCACACACCGUAAAAAUCCAGAGAAAGUGUCACUGCAUAAUGUGAUGGGCAUGAGCUCUGUCUGUGUCCUCAGGGGUGACACGCAUGCACCUCUCAUUAGUUACAUGCGUGCAUGUUGCGGCGGGCAUGGCCAUAUGACAGAGUACAGGAGAUUCCUCACUCGUUACAUUCACCUGUUUCAGGAGGUCUAAAAUUAGCUCCAGAGCCUGUGACUGGCUGUAGGGGACCAGACUUUGAGGCUCUGUGCAGGCACAAGAAAGAUGUCACAGAUUCCAGGUUUCAGGCUGUGGGUCCUUCGGUAAAGGUUGGUUUCUCCCGGUACAUUUCCCUAGUACAGGUCCUGAGGAUGUCUUCUAGUUUCUUUGUACAGGAAAUAACACAAAUAUAACACAAUAAAGUUCAUUCAUAAUAGCAAUCAAAAGCCCUGAGAGCAUGGAUCAGUGAGGGAGGAUCUAGCCACUGGAGAAGCAUUUUCAGGAGCAAAUGUGUGGGAGCCAUCUGUUGCCUCACCAUACGUGGUGAUAGUCACAGCAUGUCUCUCUCUGCAUCCUAUUCUGAAAAUUUACACCGUGACUGUAGGUUGCCUAACAUAUUUUGCAAGUGUUGCCUGCCAAAAGGUGCAUUGCACCAAAUGGGACACAAGGCUCAGCAGUGACAGUGCCCCAAGUGGCUCUGAGCAAAAGGCACUCUCAGCUGCUUUCCCUCCCCGGGGGAAGUGAAACGCGGGUCUUGAGUAUUCAGUACAGAAAGUUGCCGGCUUCCUCUGAAGCAGGGGCACAAUAAUCUGUUGGUUGGAGGCAAAAACUAAUUCCUGUUGAGAAAUAUGGUGAAAAGCUUUCAGAAGAAAGGGUAUUGGCCAGGGGAGCAGCUUGCUCCAGGUGACAGCUAUGGCCACCCAGCACUCCUUUACCUGCAGUCACAAGCACAAGGAACUUUUCUUUCUGUUCCUCCACAUAAAAGCUGGGCAACAUGCACACAUAUAAGAAGGCCAAAAAACCCUACAGGGCUUACAAAACAUGACACAGUGCUACACAAGCUCCUUUCCCUGGGGAGGCUGGAAGGAAACAAGCGUGUGACAGUUACUCAUCACAUUGCUUAAGGCAAGACUGGGAGGCACAGAGAUGCUGCAGCAAUACACAUCGCAAAGCUACAGAAUGAGGAACUGACUGACAACAGUUUCCUGGCCUAUAUAAUGCAGGAGUCAGACCAGGUGAGGACGUGAGCUACGCUACUGUGAUUCCAGGACAGCCUCAUCGCCUUGGCUCUGGGGUGUUGUCUGGUACUUGAUGAUAAGAUGAGGGGGGACCUGAAUUCUCAUUUGACCAGCUGAAUGUGCUAAGGACACACCUUCAGCCUGGCUUGCACUUGGCCCCUUCCCUGAGGGUGCAUCCCGAGGUACCACUGGGUACCUGUAUGGCACCAUGCCUUGCACCACGUCUCUGUUCGUUACUCAUCCCGACUUCCUGCACAGCACCAAUAUUUAUAUGUGAAAAAUGACUGUGAUUUCAGCAAAAACAAACUGCCCCCUCAGUCCAUUAAUAAAUCCUGUUUCACUGCCAAAA